rnacentral:rRNA from 1 species
CGCUGGCGGCGCGUUUAAGCAUGCAAGUCGAGCGGCAAGGGCCUUCGGGCCCCUAGAGCGGCGGACGGGUGAGUAACACGUGGGCAAUCUGCCCCCCGGCCCGGGAUAGCCCAGGGAAACCUGGAUUAAUACCGGAUGAGACGGGACCCGCGAUGGCGGGACCCGGGAAAGGCGCUGCGGCGCCGCCGGGGGAUGAGUCUGCGUCCCAUUAGCUAGACGGCGGGGUAACGGCCCACCGUGGCGACGAUGGGUAGCCGGCCUGAGAGGGUGGACGGCCACAUUGGAACUGAGACACGGUCCAGACUCCUACGGGAGGCAGCAGCUAAGAAUCUUCCGCAAUGGGCGAAAGCCUGACGGAGCGACGCCCGCGUGAACGAAGAAGGCCGUGAGGUUGUAAAGUUCUUUUCGGGAGGGGGAACAACCGUGGCAGGGAAUGGCCGCGGGAUGACGUGAAUCCCGGAAUAAGCCCCGGCUAACUACGUGCCAGCAGCGGC